rnacentral:tRNA from 1 species
GGGCCUGUAGUCUAUCGGCAUGACAUCGCUUUCACAUGGCGAAGGUAGGGGGUUCAAUUCCCUCUGGGCCCA